ensembl:lncRNA
ACACAGUGGGGCAGCCAUAGACUCUCCCUCUCCUACUGAAAAAGAGACAGUGCCGGUUGAUAUAUUAUUGAUUAUAUAUUUUUAAAACAAGCUGAGGAUUGAUUAUGAAAAACGUUUGACAUGUUUCUGUGGACAUUACGGAUACUAUUUGGAAUUUUCAUCUGUGUUGUCAUGACCGCUCGAGCCUGUGGAUUUCUGAAUAUAACGCGCCAAACAAACAGAAGUAUUUUGGAUAUAAAAUAAUCUUUACGGAACUAAAGGAACAUUUAUUGUGUAACUGGGAGUCUCGUGAGUGCAAACAUCUGAAGAUCAUCAAAGAUAAUGGGGCCGGCUAUAGGGUUAGCCCUGACAUCCAUCUGCUUCCAAUUCACUGUCGUCAAGACCGGCUCUCUUGCUCGCUAGAUAUCCCACCCAUUCCAUGUUCUCCAAACGUGAUGAACAAAACGGAGCGAUUUCUCCUACACAAAUAAUCUUUUUGGAAAAACUGAACAUUUGCUAUCUAACUGAGUGUCUCCUCAUUGAAAACAUCUGAAGUUCUUCAAAGACUCCAACCUCUGCACAAUGGCCAAGACCAGAGAGCUGUGUAAGGACAUCAGGGAUAAAAUUGUAGACCUGCACAAGGCUGGGACGGGCUACAGGGCAACAGGCAAGCAGCUUGGUGAGAAGCAACAACUGUUGGCGCAAUUAUUAGA